rnacentral:lncRNA from 1 species
CACUCGCCCACGUUCCCGCUCCCCAGCUGGGCUCCCCUCCCCUGCAAGCCAGUGGGUGGGACCUGGAAACCUCUGCCCAGGGGACAAUGGGGAUAGAGGAGGCAGAUCUGUGACCACUGCUGGCAAGAAUAACGAGAAUAAGAAUAAUAAGAAUAACCAGCCCCGGGUGCACAAGCUCAGCCACUGCCACUUUCCACCUGGCAGGUUGUGGGGCCUAAGGCCUGGGACGGAAGGUGAAGGGGGAGGCCCGGCCCCUGCUCUGUGGCUGGGCAGGUGGGAGACACAUUUGCGGCUCGAGACAGCCCAGCUCGCUGUUCCAGCCAGAAGGAAAUCAGGCCUGGGGGUGAGUGGCCCAGAGUCGUCAGCACCAGCAGGGGAGACCCCAGCAGGGCAGCACCCUUGGCGUCCCUUCUCUGAGGCCCACCCGCCCCCCAGGAGGAUUCCCAGUAGCACCUGACAGGUGGGAGGGGCAGCGCCGGGGAGGGGAGGGGGCUGGAGGCAGCGGGGAUGGCACAGGGUGGAAUGCGUAGGGGGCAGUGGCGACAGAGGGCAUCGAAUUCAGGAGGCAAAAACAAAAACUCAGUCACCGCCUCCCGUGGGAAUUAACAGGUGAGGAGGGCUCCGACUCAGACACCAGCGGCCCGGAAGCCCCAGGGGCACGUGGGCUUGUACCAGACACCACCCGGCCGACAGCACUGUCCUCUAGGCAAGAGAGUCACCCACGACCCCAUCAGCAAUCGAGCUCGUGCGUGGCCGUCACGUUGCUAAAACCCCCAGAUACCUCAGGCUUUCUCUGAAGACUCUGACGCGGUAGGACACUUAGGAAAGAGGUUCACGAGGGAGCAGGGGACACUCACAGCCAGGCCCGGGCAGUCGGGUGGGGAGGACGUGGAGGCCUGGGACCUGGGGAGAGACAAAGCACACGGUGUGACACUUCUCCAAGAACGCAAGUGGCCACUGCUGCCCCCAGGGACUCCGUCAGGAGGAAGCAGGGCCAAGGCCUGGGGGCCGUGGAGGCGGUCACGGUCACAGGGGCCACCUGGUCAAGGGCCGACUCCUUGGCGCCCCCUCUGCUCCUCAGCCACCGUGUUAGGGUCCUAGGGCUGCUGUAACAAAUGACCACACACUUGCUGGCUGGAAACAGCAGAAACCUAUUCUCCACCAGUUCUGGAGGCAGGUGUCUAACACCAAGGCAUCAGGGGCGGUGCCUUCCAAGGGGGCCUCUGUCUCCACAAGGCCUCUCUGUGUGUCUCUGUUCUCUGCUCUUCUGAUGGGGACACCUGUCGUGAGGUUUUGGGCCCACCCCAAAUCCAAGGUGACUUCAUUUGUGGGAUCCUUAACUAAUCACGUCUGCAAAGUCCUGUUUCCAAAACGGCUCACAUUCUGAGAUUCUGGAUGGACACGAGUUUUAGAGGGACACCAUUCAACCCAGGAUGCCCACCAAGAAGUCCAGGAUC